UGUUCUGCUGCAAUAUUUUCGCAAUAUGAAAUAUUGGGCGCAGCGCGAGUCGUCGGAUAGUCCCAGAAAUAAAAAAUCAGGAAUCAAGAAACGCUGAGUGUAGAUUAAAUUCCGGAACAUCACUAUUGUGCACUGAGAAAAAUUUCAUUUGUUACAGUAACUAGAAAAAUUGUGUAAAACAGAUUUCGUAACAACAAAAAAGGAAGGACUGGCGUAAGGGACGAGAAAAUAAAUUUUUUUAUCACUACCAAUGAAUUCAGUGCAAGCCUUUUUAUUCGAGUAUUCUUUAUAUAAACGAUAGUUCAGCAGAAACGAAACGGAGUCGCACAGAAUUUGGAUACAAAAACUCGGACAAUCGGUAAACUCUUAAGGUUGAAUCAGUUCAAAAUAGUUUCCGGAUUCCAUUAAGAUGGCUUCUUACGGAGAUUUGGUGACCUUUCAAAAGUCUUGGGCUUCUAACGAGAUAAUAAAAAGUUAGACUCGAGUAAAACUCACUAAAGUUCUUGAGGAAGAUCGAAAGAAGACGAAAUUUCACAGUUUCGAACCGCGGCUGAGACAUUUGGCAACGUCGCGCAUACGCCAAGACCAUACAGAAUGGACCGGGUAGUCGAGUAAAGCAAAAGAGGUGGAGGACACUGUGUCGUUUGUAAGAGAAAGACGAAAUUCUCUAUUCGCAGAGUAAACGUUGCCACGUUGAAAAGCAGCUUUGCCACAUAGUAUUCCAUACCCUGUGUGAAAUAACUCAACGGCAUCAUAAUACUGACUUCAAAGAAUCGUAACUGCAGUGUAAUAAAUAUUAUUUUUGUUGUGACAAAGAAAUGAAAUUAAAUUAAAUAUUUCAA
rnacentral:lncRNA from 1 species